rnacentral:lncRNA from 1 species
ACCCUACUCCAUCUUCUCGUGUUGUUCGGCGCACGCGGAGACAGCCCGCGAUCCCGAUCCCGAUCCUUCUUCACGCGAAUCUCGACGAUCCCCCCCUUCCUUCCUUCAAGAAGGAGAGCACCCUCCACCUGGUGCUCCGCCUGAGGGGUGGCAAUGGUAAUGCAGAUCUUUGUGAAGACCUUGACUGCCAUGUAUGAUACCGUCUUUGAAGUAUUUGUAUUGUCUGUCGUGACUAAGUUUGUUUCGUGGACCGGUUGUCUUCUACCCUACCCAAAACUACAGUGUGGCAGCAAAUGAUGAAUAAAUGUGAUGUUUGAAUUUAAAAAUA